GUUUAAACACUGGUGCUAAUGUUGUACAGUUUCGGCUCGUUACUUCCUGUAUUAAACCGACUUGAUUCGACCUCAACGCCAGUCAAUCGGUCAUCAUGUGAUUUUGGCAUCUCCUCUUCCAGUCGGCCAUUUUGUACAAGAUUUUGAGAGACUAGAACACCUCGUGGAGUAGCGAGAUAUCCGGCCAACAAGGCGACAGUGUUUUCAUACGUGCAUGUGUGACCCAGAGUACCGAAACAAGCUAGUUGUGGAAAAACAUAGCAGUGGUAUUUCGAUUGGUACUCGUCUGAAAAGAUUCUUCCCCGGCGCUACCUCAGGAGGGCCAACAGCACAAAAGUGAAAUGCCACAGCGGACGUGGCGCUGAAGUCAUCUCAUUACCCCAGUGUGGGAUUCCGUGUUGGCAUUCGGGAUAACAUUCCGCUUUUCAGUGUUCUAUGUGAAAGGCAGAGGUUGAUAAAUGUGUGGUCGACAACAUAUGUGACCAAUGUUGCCGCAACUCUGAGGGGGAGCCUUGUUCCUGUUCAUCACGAGUUGAAAUUGACGAUUGCUAUUGCUUCGUUGCUGAACAGGUUGUUUGCGUUUCAGUUUUCAGCCUGCACGUUUUUCACCAAAACAACAACAAUUGUGACCGUUUACAUCCUCAUUGUCUCUUGAAGCCGUGACCUCACAACUCUGUCGUUAGUCAACGCAGAUGGGGAGUGUUUUCAUCACGCGACUUCCUCGUAAACUGAUACCCUCCUCCCCCGGCAAUAUUUUUAGCCUCUUUCGACCGCUAGUCAUGGAGUGCACGGUGAGACUCCAACAAUUAGGCCUCAUCCACUCGUGCCGGACCGGCAAGAUGAUCAGGGCUAGAAUGCGAGUCGCUUCCUUCCACGUAAACACCAAAUAACCCAGACACCGUGAUUAGCGUCCACUUGUCUCCUCUUAAAAGCCGAGAGGUGUGCCGCCUCAAAGAGCUCGGCGGAAGCUGCUGUGUCGCAUUGCGCGACUUGCAAACCGCCCGUGUGACACUCUUACACAGCACGGUGCUCGGCUGCCACGAAUGCGUGCGAAGUCGCUGGUGUUGUCAAUCACUUUGACGCUCCGCAACAUCCCCAUUUGUCGCGGGUCGCUUUUUGCAAGAACAGUGGCUUGACUGGUCUGAGUUAAAGAAACUGAACUCCCAUUUUUCACUAGGUUUGUGGAUGUUUCUGUUCUUUAUUAAUUAGCACUAUUUCACGGAAUGCGCGAUGGACACAAAAAAGCGGAAAAAACAAGGUUUGGUACAAAAAUCCACCCGUCAAGGAGAACAGCGACUAUAAUGCUAAAAUGUGUUUGCUUUUAUGUCAUGAAAACAACAACAUGACUUAAGAAAGGGCUUUUAAUGGCAAAAUAAUCAUUUACAGAUGUACAACCGAGAAACCUACCAUGAGUGCCGCUGACUCUCACCACAUGUCUUGAAUUGAAAAUCUCCCCCCCGGACCCCCAUGGCGUUCUUUAUUCACAUCGUGAUAGAUUCUGUUUAAUUCACUAAUUAAGACAUGCAGUCAAAUGCUCAUCUCUGCUCAAAACAUUCGCAGCGAGUACCAAAAUAUUCAAGCAGCUACAGACCGGUGCGGACUAGUAUGUCGGCUGUGAGGUGUGAAUGUCUCUCCCAUGAUUGUGAGGGGCCGGUCAGGGUCCAUAUCAGUCAGCGCCUGUGAUGUAAUUCCUCCUGCCUCUACGAGGUUGCUGGUCAGAUUGUCUGAUAAUAGCUCGUUAGUCGAAUCGGAGCGAGCGAGAGGCCGCGACCAUAAAUGGAGAAGGAAAUGUUUAUUUUUCUCCCCGGGCAGUGCAGCAAAAAAAAAAAAAAAAACGUCGUGAUCUUAAGUGGUUGAAAAAUACUUCCUGGAAGGGCCAUUUGCUUCAACUCCCAGCAACGAUUUAAGCCACCGCUGCUUCACCACCAGCCAUUUUCUCAUUUCCCUCAUAUUCCGUAACAGGGUACCACAUUGCGUCAGCUGCUCAAUUUGCCAGUAUUCAUCUGAAUUGUCGGGCUUUACAACUUGACGAAAGCUCUGGCUUCACUCUGGGUGCAACAGGGGGAAUGGAAUGCAAAACAACAGUGGUGGUAGUCCUUUGUCCCCUUUUUUUUUUUUUUUAAGAUGAGUCAACUGUCCCCACAUGUGUAUUUGUGUCUGCAAACUAUUCCAGUCAAGCAGUGCCAGCUGGGUUAGUCAUCAUUGAAAAAAAAAAAAAAAUCCUGUAAGCACAAGUAAAUGUCUUCAUUCUGUGGACCAAGCAAAAGUUACGCCUCCUACACCGGUAAUAAAAGUCAGCCGAGGAACUUGGCGAUCCCCGACGGAAGAUUAACCGUUGGCACCGGCAACGGGCCUCGGUCCGGGGGGGGGCGAUUUACGGCACAUCCUCCACGCAUCCCUGUAACUGAUCCUGACAACAUGAGCCACAUUAAUGGAAUUAUACUGCUUAGGGAGCUGCAUGUGCCGGAGGGUCUUAGUAUUUCUGUUGAAAAUUAGUUCUUGCAAAUAAUUGGGGGUACUCGUCUCAAAAGAGUUAAAAACAUUCGGCCCCAAAAGUAGCUUACUAAAUACAUGUUUCAUUUAAACAAAGUAAUUACAGUGCUCACUGCUGUCCAAAAAGAACACAAAGACGUCUUAAUGAUCCUGAAGAUUUUUGGAAAAACAUCCUGUGGACUGAUGAGUCAAAAAUGGAACUUUAUGGAAGAUGUGCGGCUUGUUACGUCUGGUAAAAAUGGCACAGCAUUUGAUAAAAAGAACA